rnacentral:rRNA from 1 species
GGGUAUCCCUACAUAGCGGGUGGGACCCACGGCGAAUGUUCAUCAAGUCUUCAAAAAAGAAUAUAUACGAUUCGAUUCGAUAACGGAUGCGAUCAUACCAGCACUAAUGCACCGGAUCCCAUCAGAACUCCGCAGUUAAGCGUGCUUGGGCGAGAGUAGUACUAGGAUGGGUGACCUCCCGGGAAGUCCUCGUGUUGCAUCCCUCUUU